rnacentral:rRNA from 1 species
GACGAACGCUGGCGGCGUGCUUAACACAUGCAAGUCGAACGGAAAGGCCCUGCGUUUGUGGGGUGCUCGAGUGCCGAACGGGGGAGUAACACGUGAGUAACCUGCCCUUGACUUUGGGAUAACUUCAGGAAACUGGGGCUAAUACCGGAUAGGAGCUCCUGCUGCAUGGUGGGCGUUGGAAAGUUUCGGCUGUUGGGGAUGGACUAGCGGCUUAUCAGCUUGUUGGUGGGGUAGUGGCUUACCAAGGCUUUGACGGGUAGGCGGCCUGAGAGGGUGACCGGCCACCUUGGGACUGAGAGACGGCACAGACUCCUACGGGAGGCAGCAGGGGGAAAGAUUGCACAAUGGGCGGAAGCCGGAUGAAGCAACGCCGCGGGCGGGAUGACGGCCUUCGGGGUGUAAACCGCAUGCGCCUGUGACGAAGCGUGAGUGACGGUAAUGGGAAAAGAAGCACCGGCUAACUACGUG